GAUAUAGGGUCAUCUGCUAUUCCCUUCAAGAAUUUAACAACUUUGGUAGUAGUUGGUUGUCACAGCUUGAAAUAUUUAGCAACAUAUACGAUAGCCAAAACUUUAAAGCGGCUAAGAGAAAUGGUGGUUGGGAAUUGUGAAAGAAUGACAGAAAUAGGGGCAACGACAUCAGAUGGAGAUGAUGCAGGAAAUGAUGGUGAGAUUUCUUUUUGCCAGUUGCAAAGUUUGCAACUUUACCAUCUACCAAGUCUGCAAGAUUUCUUCUCUGGAAAUUGCAUUGUCAAAUUCCCAUCCUUGAAAGCUGUAAGUAUAUAUGAAUGCCCUAAGUUGAAGAUCAACAGCUCUGAGUGGAAGAGUUCCCCAGAACUACAAAGAGUGCAGUUAACAGAGAAUUAACAACUUUGCUGCAUAGUUAGUUCUCUUGUUAACAUGUUUGUUAUUUCUGUGUGUAAUGGUUUUGGGUUUUAAUGAAGACAAUUUUCUGCCCAUUUUAAAUUAAAUUUUGAAUAAUUUAAAAUAUUUUUUUGCUUAUGAUUUUUAGUUUUCAUAAGCUGGUGUAUCCGCGCGUUGUUGCGAUGUUUGAAACAUUGUUGAAAGUGUAGAAAGUUCUAAAUAUGUAUGUGCCUAAGAGUAGUGUGUAUAUUGAUGGCCUCCAAGAACAUCUUGACGCAACAUUCUCUCCGCCAAUUACAUCUUCAAAAUGAAAAAAAAAAAUAAAAAUUAAUCACAAAAUUAAGGUGCUUUUAGAGACAUAAACUUAAGAACACAAAAAACUGAAACCUUUAGAAAUCACAUAUUCUCAAUCAUAUAUCAAAAUUAAAUUCAACCCUUUUUAUCGUUUUUCCCAAAAGAUCAAACCUUUUGUAUCAACAUUUCUUUCUCUUUUGAUUGUCAUGGGACAAUGAAUCAUUUUCUUUGAAUAAAUAUAAUCAAAUUGAUUGAUAUUAGUAAGACAUGACCUAUUACAAGAGGUUAAUUCCAGUUCACAAAUCAUUCCUUUUUUUGGAUAUACGAAGAAUGGGAUUCCAGUAAGUUGACUCUUUUGAAAUCUUUAAUUCACUUUGAUCCACGCCCACUCAUUCCUUUUUUUUUCCUCUACUUUUUGCAGAGAUAUUUGUCUCUUAAUAAUAUUGUACAAAUAAUCUAUUCAAUGUCAAACCUAAAAAUGAUUAGAAACUAAACUUCACGUGUUGAAUUGAUUAGAACUAAAAAUUGGCAAUAUAGUGAUCAAAUGUUAAUGAUAAAGCAAUAAUACUUCAAAGAUAAAACGAUCAAACGUUAACAACACAUUAAAAAAAUCAGUCAUUUGUACAAUUGAGAUUUGACUUUGAGAAAAGAUCCGUUUGACCAUUCUUUUAGGUCCAAGUACUAUCAGUGUGAUCUAAGUAGUGUUGGUUCUUGGUACAACUAUUUGGGAAUAUAGAAACAUUUUGUAAAACAGAGAAGGUGUUCAGCAAAUACAUAAAAUUGAGUGAAAUCGGAAGUUGAAACACGAAAGAAAACAUAUGAAGAAAAACCCCUAAUUAGCAUUGAAAUUAUUGAAAGCUAAAGGACAAACCAAAAUCAUUACCUUAACUUUGCUUUCUCCCAUUAGAAUUUUCUUUGCUUUCUCGCAUAACAUUCACAAUAGUAACACCGCCUGAGAGUGUUAUGAUCACAAAAUGAUAAACAACUUACUAAACGGAAGUGAUGGUUUGAAUCUGGAAUCAAUGCAUACCUGAAAAGCUGAUUUAAAAUUGGUUAUGCCUUUCCCAUGCUCGUAACAUUUAUUUGCAAUCAGUAAAAUUUUCCUGAUAAGGGGAAAGCUAGGAGAGUAAGUUAUAAGCAAAGUUGACAGACAAAACAGAUCGAUGCACAUAUAUAUAUAUAUAUAUAUAUAUAUAUAUAUAUAUAGAGAGAGAGAGAGAGAGAGAGAGAGAGAGAGAGAGAGAGAACUUACAUCAGCUGUGCUUGAAUAGACAUUGGAAAACCACUGUUACUAAACUACAGUGUUUUUCCUAUGGGCCAAUUUAGUCUCUAAAUUUUUUCUUUUUCCGAAAAAUUAAACUAAAAAAAUCUGAGAGUUACAUCCCUAUUAUUAGAUUUGAAAUUGUAAUACACGUAUUUAAAAAAAAAUGUGUGCAUAUAUAAAUAUAUGUAUGUAUCAUAGUAUUUUUAAUUUGUGCUUUACUCUAAUAUUUAAUCUACCAAAUUCUUUUCUUGGUUAGUUAACUAAUACAUGUAAGAAGAAUGAAGUGGAAAAUAGUGGUCCAAGUUAAAAGGAUAUCAGUGGGUAACUAAUGCCACUUGUCAAGAUCCUAUAAAGGCUGGUAUGUUAGUUAGAAUCUUGGUGGUUAGAGAUAUAGUUAGUUUGAAUAAGGAGAUAGUUAGUUGACAUAAGGAGGUAGUUAAAAAGAGGUUACUUACUGUGUAAGAUUCAGUUUUAGAAACACUUAUAUAAGUGUGAAUUGUAAAACAACAUAGUAUGAUGAAUCAAAUACAUUUUACAUCUUUCAUUUCUCCUCAAUAGUUUCAUAUAUUUUUCUGUUCUUCUAAAAGCUUCAUACAUUCUGCUAUCUUCAUAUGGUAUCAGAGCCAGGUUAUAGAUCCGGUGCUUCCGCUCAAUCUUAAUCACAUUUUCUUUCUCUUCUACACCCUCUAGUUUGAAUAUUUGUGUGAGUUUUGGCAUCCGGAAAUAUACGAGGUGCUUCGACAGUUGGUUUCUUUUCGUCUGCCCACCAUCUGUUUGAUUAAACGUCUCAGUGAAAGUGUGUUUCCAGAAUUUGCGAAAAUUGUUACAGCUGCUCAAUUGCAGAUUGUUCAGUCACCCAUCACCAAUCUUCUCUCCACAAUCUCUACUUCAGUCACAGUGAAAUUGGAUGACUCCAAUUAUCUUACUUGGAGUUUUCAGGUUCGGUUGCUUCUGGAAAGUCAUGGAAUAAUGGGAUUUGUGGAUGGUUCAAGACAGUGUCCAUCACGUUUUGAUAAUGACUCGAAUGCUGAAAGAGUCGAAACCGAUGACUACCUAGUCUGGAAGAUGCACGAUCGUGCAUUAAUGCAGUUGCUUAUUGCUACACUAUCGUCGAUUGCCAUGUCCUGCAUCAUUGGGAGUAAAAUUUCUUGUGAGAUGUGGCUCAAUCUCACCGAAAGGUUUUCUGCUGUUACGAAGGCUACAAUCUUUCAGAUGAAGACAGAACUUCAGAACAUCAAGAAAGGGUCAGAAUCUGUGUCGGUUUAUCUUCAAAAAAUCAAAGAUGCCAGAGAUCAUCUUGCUGCAGCUGGGGUAAAUUUUGAUGAUGAUGAUAUUAUCAUCCUAGCGUUGAAAGGUUUAUCUGUAGAUUUCAACACAUUUCGAUGUGUGAUCAAAGGAAGAGAAAAUGGGAUUUCUCUCAAAGAUUUCUGGUCUCAACUAUUGGCUGAAGAAGCUAUCAUUGAGCAAUCUUUUGACAGUACCUCUGGGGUGCCAUGGUUGCUAGCACUCAAUCCGAUAAAGGAAAAGCUCUUGUUCUCGAUCAAGAUCAACCAAGGUCUUCUUCUGAUCAAUCCUUCAAGUCAACUGGAGGAUCAAGUUCAGUUAAUCAUGGACAUGGAAAUGGGCCAUAUCACAAUUUCAAUGGUGGUUAUUCUACCUAUGGAGGCAAUAAAGGGAAUAAUUUCAGAGGCAAAGGCAGAGGAAGAUUUCAAUAUACUAGUGGUCCAAGAUUUUCAAAUGGUAAUCCUGGUAUUCUUGGUACUCCCAAACCAUAUCAAUCCCAUUGUCCAAAUCAUCCAAUUGACAUUCCUAUUUGUCAAAUAUGCAAUAAAAAGGGCCAUAUUGCUGCAGACUGUUUUCAAAGGCAUACUACUCCACCCUCGAGUACUCCUACUCCUACUCAAUGUCAAAUUUGCUGGAAAUACGGGCACACAGCAGUUCAAUGUUAUCACAUGAGUAAUUUUGCGUAUCAAGGAAGGCCUCCACCUGCUACUCUCUCUGCGAUGCAUGCCAACUAUCAACCUUCAGCACCAUCUGACCAGUUUUGGAUUGCAGACACUGGUGCUACAUCACAUAUGACAUCUGAGUUGGCAAACUUGGAGCUGCCUACACCAUAUCAGGGCACAGACACCAUUACCACUGCAAGUGGUGCAGGUUUGAGUAUUUCCAGUAUUGGUACUUCUAAAUUAGUGGUUCCAAAACACUCUCUUACACUUCGGAAUGUUCUACAUGUUCCCAAACUUGCGCAACACCUGUUAUCUAUAUAUCAACUCUGCAAAGAUAAUAGAUGCAGAUUCAUUUGUGAUGAUGUUUCUUUUUGGAUUCAGGACAAAUCCACAGGGCAGAUCCUAUUCAAGGGGCUAUGUAGAGCUGGUUAUUACCCUAUACCAUUCAACAUUUCACAGAAGACAUCAUCUAUCACACCUGCAUUACAUUCCUGCUUUCUUGCAAAACCAAUUCAGUCCAGCAUUUGGCACAAACGACUAGGACACACAUCCAAUGCAAUCACUUCUGCAAUUCUACAUCAGUGUCAAGUUCCUACAUCAUUAGAUCCCUGUUCAUCGAUCUGCACACCAUGUUUAGAGGGCAAAUUUACCAAGUUACCAUUUGAUUUUCCUGUACACAAAUCUGUCAUACCAUUGGAAAAAAUACACAGUGAUGUAUGGGGACCUGCCCCUUUACUUUCUUAUGAAGGUUUUAGAUAUUAUGUAACCUUCAUAGAUGAUUGUACUCGAUACACAUGGAUUUUUCCAUUACGAAAUAAAUCAGAAGUGUUUGCAACCUUUGUUCAUUUUCAUGCCUAUUUGUGUACACAAUUCUCUGCUAUGGUUAAAGUUUUUCAAUCUGAUGGGGGUGGUGAAUUUACAAGCACUAAGUUUCAACAAUAUCUAUCACAGAAUGGUAUUUUACAUCACAAAUCUUGUCCUUACACACCUGAACAGAAUGGAUUGGCAGAACGCAAACAUAGACACAUUGUAGAAACUGCACUUACACUUCUUCAAACUGCAAAAGUGUCAACCCAAUUCUGGUUUCAUGCAUGUAGUACUGCUUCUUAUUUGAUUAAUAGGAUGUCGUGUGCUACUUUACAUAUGCAGUCACCAUUUCAAAAAUUAUAUAACAAGGUUCCUGAUAUAAAACAUCUCAGAGUUUUUGGUUGUGCAUGUUUUCCACUCUUAAAGCCUUACAACACUUCUAAACUUCAUCCUAAAACUGCAACGUGUGUGUUUCUAGGAUAUGCAGGUCAAUAUAAGGGGUUUCUUUGUCUUAACAUUGCCACUAGUAAAAUUCUUGUGUCUAGGCAUGUAUUAUUUGAUGAAAAUAGCUUUCCAUAUUCCACUUCCAAUAUGUGUCCACCAUCAAAAUUAGUGUCUGCCUCAUCUCCAUUGUAUGAAUCUCAUGCUCACAUUCAUUCCUCAUCUGUCACACCUAUCAUUACCUUAACCAAUCAAGCAUCUACACCUUCAUCUCAUUCAUUAUCAUCUCGAACUACACACUCCUUGUCUAUGCAUUCAUCUAGUGCCUCAGAUUCUUUGUCUGCAUCUAGAGCCUCAGAUUCCUUGGAAACAGUUGAAUCUAGUGCUCCAGAAUGUGUUUCUUCUCCCGCCAAUCAUAUUCCUUCAUCACAUAUAUCGUGUGAUCCUGCAGUCCACCUAACUAGCUCCACAACACAACACCCUGUCCCUGUGGAUCCUGAUUUUCAGCAGGAGCAUCUAAGUGUUGUUCUCCCCACACCUAUGAAUAUUCAUCCUAUGCAAACCCGUUCUAAGAAUGGGGUGUUCAAAAAGAAAGCUUUUGCUGCUACUACUAUGUUAGAACCCAAAACAUUCAAAUCUGCUUCACAAGUUUCAGAAUGGCAGGUGGCAAUGCAAGAGGAAAUAAAUGCUCUUCACUCUCAAAAGACUUGGUCUUUAGUUCCAUUACCACCUGAUAAGAACUUAGUUGGUUGCAAAUGGAUUUACAAAAUAAAGAAACAUGCAGAUGGGUCAGUGGCAAGGUAUAAGGCUCGACUUGUGGCUCAAGGGUAUAGUCAAGAGGAGGGUGUUAAUUAUCUUGAGACAUUCAGUCCUGUUGUUAAACCUACAACUAUACGCCUUAUUUUUGCUUUGGCUGCUCAAUUCCAGUGGUCUCUUAGACAGCUCGAUGUAAAAAAUGCCUUCCUACAUGGCAUACUUCAGGAGGAGGUUUAUAUGGACCAACCUCCAGGCUUUGCAAGUGCCUCACAUCCUUCCGAUUAUGUGUGUAAGCUCCAGAAGUCAUUAUAUGGUUUAAAACAGGCUCCCAGAGCCUGGAAUGAAAGGUUUACCAGUUUUUUACCAAGUUUCGGGUUUCAAGUCUCUCCUGCAGAUCCUUCAUUGUUUGUGCAAAAGUCUUCACAUGGGACAGUGUUAUUACUCUUAUAUGUUGAUGAUGUUAUUCUCACGGGUAGCAGUUCACAAUUAAUCGAUCAUGUCAUCCAUGCUCUCACUCAAGAAUUUGAAAUGAAGGACUUGGGACAGUUGCAUUACUUUUUGGGAUUGCAAAUCACUUAUACAUCCGAAGGCUUAUUUGUAUCACAGACAAAAUAUAUCACUGAGUUUGUUGAUAAAGUGGAUUUACAGGAUUCUAAACCAUGUAGCACACCAUGUCUACCCUAUCACAGGUUGAUUAAGGAUGAUGGCCAACCGUAUCACAGUCCUGAACAAUAUAGAACUGUUGUUGGUGCACUUCAGUAUCUCACGUUCACACGCCCUGACAUCGCAUUUGCAGUUAAUCAAGCUUGUCAAUUCAUGCAUAAUCCUAUGGUUUCUCAUGUCCUGGCUGUCAAGCGCAUCCUUCGUUAUCUCAAAGGCACAUCUACCUAUGGUAUUCACUUCAAACCCGGUCCCAUGCAUCUGCAAUCUUAUAGUGAUGCAGAUUGGGCAGGUGAUCCAAACGAUAGGAGAUCCACUUCAGGUUUUGUUAUGUUUCUUGGUUCGAAUCCUAUUUCAUGGGCAUCGAAGAAACAACAUACUGUGUCUCGAUCUUCCACAGAAGCUGAAUACCGUGCCCUUGCUAUUACAGCUGCUGAACUUGCUUGGAUUUGUCAGCUAUUCUGUGAUCUACAUAUCUCUUUACCUUUUUCUCCCAUGAUCUAUUGUGAUAAUAUAUCUGCUAUUGCCCUCUCUACAAAUCCUGUGUUCCAUGCUAAGUCCAAACACAUUGAAAUAGAUUAUCAUUUUGUUCGGGAGAGGGUCACUCGUGGUGAUCUUCAGGUUCAGCAUGUUUCCUCUGCUGAUCAGUCUGCAGACAUACUUACAAAGGGUUUGUCUACACCAUUGUUUCAGCAGCAUUGUGCCAAUCUAAUGCUCAGUGCCCUCGAGCAUCAGAUUGAGGGGGGAUGUAAUAAGAAUGAAGUGGAAAAUAGUGGUCCAAGUUAAAAGGAUAUCAGUGGGUAACUAAUGCCACUUGUCAAGAUCCUAUAAAGGCUGGUAUGUUAGUUAGAAUCUUGGUGGUUAGAGAUAUAGUUAGUUGGAAUAAGGAGAUAGUUAGUUGACAUAAGGAGGUAGUUAAAAAGAGGUUACUUACUGUGUAAGAUUCAGUUUUAGAAACACUUAUAUAAGUGUGAAUUGUAAAACAACAUAGUAUGAUGAAUCAAAUACAUUUUACAUCUUUCAUUUCUCCUCAAUAGUUUCAUAUAUUUUUCUGUUCUUCUAAAAGCUUCAUACAUUCUGCUAUCUUCAUAAUACAUAUAUAUUUCACUAUAUACGUCCACAUGCAUGAUAAAUAUAAGGCCUAACACUUCUGUCUACAAACAAACAUUUCCAGUAUAUAAAUAAACAUUUACUCUAAUAUUUAUCAUUUACGUCCACAUGCAUGGUAAUAAUUAUAAUCAUGAUUCGUUACUAAUGCUUCCAAUGCUUGAAUGUUCAAGUGUUGUAAAACAAUUGAAACGUGUCAUUGAAGACUUAAUUGAGCAUUCCAUUUCUCCAUAAAAAGGCAGAAGGAGGAAAGAAAACGGGAGAAACAGCACCACACCAAAAACAGUGCAGCAUCUACAAGAAAGAUCUCUCGACCACCCACCUUCCCUUUCUUUUACCUUAUGUAAAGGCUUUAGGCCAUCUUCAUUGUAUUUUGUAAAUCUCUUGUACAUAAUGAAAUCCAAAUACAUAUGCAACUCUAAUGGAGGUAGCAACUUAAAUUCGGUGUGGCUCUUUUGCAAACUCAAAUUGAUUAAGUUUUAUGGUGCAUACUCUAAAAAGCAAGUAGCUUUCCUUCGAGGUAUGCUUUGAGGCUUGAGGAAAUGCAGAAGUCGAUGCAUCAGUGGAAGGAGAACUCCCCACAAGUAGGCCCAAGCCCAAAUCUAAGGUCAUUUGCUAUACCCUUUCAGAAUUCAACAAUUUUGGAAGUUGUUUGUCACAACUUGAAACAUGUAAAAGAAUUGACAGUUGGUAAUUGUAAAAGAAUGAUACAAUUGGAGGAAAUUACAUGUUGUUUGUUUCUUUGUAAUGGCCCUUAUUGUAAAUUCGGUAGUCCUUAUUAGCUUAUUUGACAGGCCAACUUCACAUAAACUAAUGAUCCGGAUCUUUUUUUUUUCUCUCUUCAACGACCUAAAUCUUUGAGUCCUUGAACUCCGGACACAGAGAUUCAGAGAAGACCUCAACUUCUCAAUUCCAAAUGAUUUUGGUUUGGGUAGUUGAUUCUAGGUUAGGCUAUCAUUGAAUGUAGAACACUACUUUGCUACCGAAUGAAUAGCAGUUGCUGAGCUGAACCUAAUCAUAAAUAGACACAUAUCUAAAUAAUUAAAACUAAAAAUUAUAAUUAAACAUGUGUUCAUCUGUGAUUAGAAAUUCAGCAGCCAAUAGGAGAAACAAUAAUCACAUUCAUCACAAUAGCCAGUAGGAGAAACAAGGACCAUGCCACUGAUUUGGGUUCCUUUUCUAAUUUUCUGAUUUUGGGGUUUUGCAGGGAGUACUGAUGUACUGAUUUUCUCGGAUUUUUUUUGUCCUUGCAGAAUUUUUGGUCUUUGAAAUGGGUACAUGUUGUUUUUAAUGUUUCAAUUCUAGCAUGUUCCGUUCUUCAUUGCUUCGUGAUUCUCAUUUUUUAGUGUUGAGUGAUGGAAAUUAGUUAAAGUAGUAGUAGUUUUUUGAGAAAGUUGGCAUUUUUAGUUAUAUUUUCUGUUUAUUCCCAAAUGUAAGACUGGAAAAUAAUUGAAAUGAUGGUUUUUUAAAAACUCCUCAUAAUUUUUUUUUUGGGAUUUAAAAGCAUCUUUUCCGGAUUGGUUUCAAGGGUUAUGUUCUCUUCAAUUGGUUCACCUAAUUUUUUUUAGUUUUAAGUUUUGUCCUUUAAGUUUUGUCUUUUAAGUUAUGUAUUACGCCCUGUAAUGAGAGAUUUUUGUUGGCCUUUCGGAUUUUGGCAUGGGAAAGUUCACUUAUUUGUCUAAUUAGAUUGCAUAUGCCUUCGAUUCUUUAUUUAAUUCUUCUGUUUGCGUUCGGGUGUGAUGAUCUAAAUUUCAUAUGUUUGGAAUUAUUCACUUAACACCAAUUUCUUACAUUCAGGUCUCCACCCCACAUUUCACAAGUUCAAAUUCCAUAUAAGUCGGUUCUGCAAAUUGCGUCUGCAAUUAGAUCAGAUAUCCACUCUUUUGUUAUCCUGUGGAAGAUUGCUUUUGGGAAGGAUAUGAAGCAGUUCCUCUCUGUAUGUUUAUUCUCUAUAUGUUUAUUGCCAUGUAGCUCUCUCUCUUCUAAUUGAUGGUGUUGAUAUUACACCGUAAUUCAUGAUGAUGAUUUAAUUGUUUCUUGAUUUGUAAUUGUUUGUAAAUAAUGUGGCAUAUAUGAAUUGCAAUAUGUGUUUGUAUGAAAGGGAUGGCAUAUCAUGUUGCUGACUUAAUUGUUUGUGUUUUUCAUAUUUGCGAAUGGUGUUAUGAUCGAUUAGGUGAUUGCUGAUCUGUGACUUUGUUUGGAGCUCAAAUUUUGUGAGCAUUAAAUUGGAUUGUAUUGCACUUGGUUUGAUGUUUUUUUGGUUGACAAUGCAGGGAUAGGAGAAACAAAGAGGAUGACACUUAUAACUACCCUUCCCCAUCGAUUGUCUUCAAAUUUGGAUCACAAGAAGGGAGCAACAUAGGUGGUAUCCUUCUUCAUUUAUAUAUGGCUAGUGUAAAUAAUUGGACAAAAGAGCCAAACAAACCCUUUUAUCUCAAAUGGAGGCGAUGAUGUGGUCAACGGCCACCAGCCCCAACUCAAGAGUUUGGCCUUCAUAUAAUUGGAUUAUGGUAUAAUUUUAGUUUGGUUCAUUUCUUUUUUCUUUAUAUAAGUGCAAUAUGAGAGGGAUGGCAUAUCAUGUUGCUGACUUAAUUGUUUAUGUUUGUCAUAUUUGCGAAUGGUGUUAUGAUCGAUUAGGUGAUUGCAAAACUAGAACUUGAAAAACUAACACAUGCAUUUAGUUUUUGUGAAGGAACUGCGAUCCACUGGCUGGAUAGAAGAAAAUGACAACGCAUGCUCUCUCUCUCUCUCUUUCUCUAUCUCUCUCUCUCUCUCUCUCUCUCUCUCUCUCUCUCAAUGGCUCUGUGUUCCUCUCCCCCCAAACCUAAUGGCUUCGGCUUUGAUCUGAUCAAACCCACCUCCAAAACCCUUCCUUGAUCACCAUCUUCAGCAACCCAAUUCAGAGUCUGCUCGGAUUGGGACCUCUUGGAGAUUCGGAGCUCCAUGUGAGAUAAUUUUCCCCAAAUUUCCCCCAAAUUGUAUUCAGUUUAUGUUGCUCCGUUUCAUUUUCCAUUUUAAUUUGGAAUUGGUUGAUAUUUUAGGCUGGUAUUGUAUGUAUAAUCAGAACAAUUUUUGUGUUAGAUUGGGGACAAAUUGUCCAGCAUUAUUAGCUAUUUGGUCCCUGUGUAUUUGUAAUCUGAAUAAUCUGAAUUAGGGUUUUUCUGUUAGUAUCCGAUUAGUGAAGAAAGAUAAGCCUCUUUGCCUUUUUUUUUUCUUCUGGUUUUCAAAUUUGGGAUUUUACUGGGAUUUAUCAUCUGGGCAUCCUUUAAAUUUGUUGGGUUUUUGAGAAAAUUAGUGGGUUUUGUUGAUUAAGUGGUUUACUUGGUUAUAGUUCUAAAUUGGUUCGAAUUAGGGUUUUCGAAGUUUGUUUGUUUGGAAAAUGGACACACUGACUUUUGUUUUAUUUCAUUUAUGGAAUACAAGGAAAAUUGUUGGGUUAUGUUUAUCAAGGAUCAUUUGAAUUUUAUACUUUCCCAUUUUUCAUUUUCUGUUUGCUUUUUUUUUAGGCAAGCAGAAUGAUGUAAAUCCUUGGCGAUUUACAGUGGCUUUGAAGGUUUGGACUUGCUUUUAAAAAGUUCUGGAAGACAAACUGCUUUGGAGCCAGUAGCACUCAGCAGCUAGAGCAGCGGCGUCUCUCUUCCUCAUCGCAAAAUGGGUGUUUUCAGGGUGAGCCUCAAUGCUCUUAAUUUCAAGUAAUGGGUUUGUGUUACUGUGCAGAUCUGGCUAACUUUGCAUUUAGUUUCUUGGAAUUGUUAUUAUUUUUAUUUUUUUUGCAAUUAUAUAUUUUUAAUGCUUUUAUGUUUGUCGUUCCGUGCUGGGAAAUUGGAAAGCUCUGGAAAUAAUAUAGUUCUUGAGCUAAUGUGAAGAUUUUGUGUUGAAUAUUUUGAUUCCUUUUUUCUAUUUGCACUUAGAAAAACAAAGGAUUGUGGUUAAUUAUUAUGCUAUGAAGCUUUUAUUUUUUUCUUUUUAUGCCCAAGAUUGAAUUUGUUCUCUCCGCUGUUGAAAAGUAGGACUCUCAAUACCUCUAAAAAAUAUGCUCCAGUGUGAAGUUUGGUUGUCUCUCUCUCCAGAAACUUAUAAAUAUUCCAUAUUGCAUCCAUCAACUCUAAUCAUUCCUUGAUCUAGUGUAAUUUUUACCAUAUGUUUAACCUUAGACUUCUUUUCAUGCAUGUCCUCCCUCUAAGUCAACUGAGGAUUCAAAUCCAGCGGGUCCAGCUCAAGAUAUAGAUAAAACAAUUCCAACUCUUAAAAAGGUAUAAUUUGUUAAUCCCCUAUCCUUGGAGUUAAUUUUUAGUGAUGUGUUUUUAAUAGAAUUGCAUAUUUGAGUAGUGAGUUUUUUCAAUGGUGUUAUUUUUUUUAAACAAUUUAUAAUACUAUUUGUAAAAUUUAGUCAGAAUUUUUUUGAACAACUAUUAUAUCGUUUGAUUUCAAUUUGUAAUUACUUCUUUUGUUAAAUUUAAGCUUAAUUAUGUUAGUAAAUCUUUAUACCUUAUGUCCAAAUACGUAUACAAUAUAGUAUAUGAUACGUAUACAGUACCGUAUAUUUAUAGUUUUUAUAAUGUUACUGAGCAUUUUCAAUGUAUGCUAUUUUGUGUGUAGGGAGUGAAAAGUGCAUUCUUCACAAAGGCAAAAUAGAGAACAUAUUAUACCUCAUAUGAAAGGAAGAGGUUAGUUUGAUUGUCACUGCUUUUUUCAUAUGGUUAACUUCUAUGUUACUUGGCUUACGUCUAAUUUAAUUGUUUGUUUGCCCAAGUUAAAGUCAUUCGUUUUAUUAAUGUUGGUGAACAAAAUCAACCUGAGUUAAUGUUAAAACAAUAUCAAAAUUCCCAUUAGUCCUGAUUGUCUUAACCCUUUUCUUUUCCGUUUUUACCAAAAUUUCAUGAAAUUUUUGCACAAUUUUUUUGUUUUACAGAAAUUAAGUUGAUUUACUAUUUUACUGUCUCUUGGUAGAAUUUUCUUAUUCGUUGUUCAAAAUUAGUAUUGCAAAUUUUAAUUGGUGGAACAGACCCAAAUUAAACCUAUAAUAGCACCAAAUUAAACUUAUAUUAAAGUGUUCUUCAGCUGCAAAUUUGGGCAUGGCCAUAUUUCAAGAUAUGUUCCCACCCCAUCCCUUGGUGCAAACAAAUUUAUAUUACUACAAAAAAAAAAUGUUGUUUGUAUCAAAAGAAAAAGAGAGGAAAUUUUUUAACAUUUUUCAACUUUUAGAAGACAAAAACUAAGAACAUAAUUGGUCUAGAACAAAGGAUUUUACAUUAGUAUAUCCAUAAUUGAAGGAUUUAAGCCCUUUCCAUACAUUGAUUUUUCUACAAAGACUUGGUCCAUAUGGCAGCUAAUAAACAAUAUGUGAAGGUUGAAUAGUUGACUUAGUUGACUUGCAAGCAGGCGAGAAUAUAAUGUAUUAAAUUAGAAUAGAACUACCCUGAUAACCUUAAGUUUUACACAAACAUUUAAAGGGUUAAAUUGGAAUGCACCCUGCAGAAACUUCAAAGAAAUAAAGUUUAUCUAGAAAGAAAAGGUUGUGUAUACCUAACGGAGUAAAAUAUGAUGACGGUGUUCAAGGUAAUUUGGAUUAUAUUUGCUUUUUGUAUUGCAUUUGCUUUCUUAAAUUGAGAGUUAUUAUAAUCUAAAUAAAGCUGACUUGAAUGGCCAUUUUUUCUGUAUUGUGUUUGCUUUCUUACAUUGAUUCCUUUUUGUUGAUAAAUGUAAUUUGGUUUUGUAGGUCAAGGUUUUUCAGCAAGAAAAUUAAGUUGCAAAUUCAUUUGAGGUACGAAUGCUUCCACUUAUUAAGGGUGUUGAAUUCACCCUUGGUUUUAGUGUAUUGUGGUUUUGAAUGUCAUUUUGUGUAAUGUAAUAUGGAUUUAAUUGUAAUUUUGGGCAUUUUAAGUGAUUAUUUGGGUUUUGAGAAGUGAGGGAAUGAUUUGGUGGGUUUUGUACAGAAUAGGAAGAAUAUAGGAGGAGUUUCAAAAUGGGGGGAUUAAUAGGGAGGGUGGGAAGUAAAUGGGAGGAAAGAAGAAGGAUAAUGUGUCAGUUAAAGAAAGCUUUUAUUAUUUGGUUGAAAUUAGGUGUUUCAUUAGUGGCUGGUUUGCAAAACCAUUUAUAUUGAAAAUUUCCAAGGGCAGUAUUUGCUUGCAGCUUGGGGUUUCAUGGAUACCAUCAUCGCUAUCAUAUGUCUGUGUUGAUACGUUGUUAAGUUCCCAAGGAAGGCUUUGAAAUUUAUUUUUUUUCAUACUUUAGACUAUUGAUUAAUUGAUACAAAGAGAAGUUUGACUUUUUUUUAAAACGGUGUAUGUCUUCUUGCCCGUAAAAUAACUGGGAAUGUGUUUUUCUCUGUUGUUCUGUAUUAGUUUUACAUUCUAGGUUGACUCAACUAAUAUGGUUUCUUCUGAGUUAAAUUUUCAAACUCUAAACUUUAUUUGUUUUAAACAGUUUCUAUCUUCUUGCCUGCAAAAGAGAACUAAGAAUGUGUUUUUCUCUGUUAUUCUGUAUUAAUUUUACAUUCUAGGUUAUUUAACUAAUAUCGUUUCUUCUGAAUUAAAACUGUUAACUUAAAUUUGUAGAGUGUUUUUUUUCAUAUUUGUUUUCUCUUCUGGUUUUGGGUGGUUUUUUUAAUGAUCUUUAUGCGAUGUUUUUAUGUGUGGGUACUUAAAUUACUGUUUUGUGUUUUUAUUUUGAUCUCAGUUGCUAAAAACUGAAUUUUUUGUUGUUGUUAAUGUAUAUAUAAAAUAUCACUGUUUGGAGUGACUCGAAUUCAUUUUAAAUUUUGUUAAAUUCAUUGAUUAUCAUAUGACAUAGUUUAUGAUAUGCUGUAUAUGAUUUGAGUGAUUUUAUUAAUUAUAAUUUUUCAUGAUCACAGUAAGGACUUGAUCACUCUGGUUGUCUCAAAUCAUUGCAGUGUCCUUAGAGAGCACGAGGUCGGUCUCCCCCUCGGUUAUUUUAGUUUGUUUGAUUUGGAUUUUGAGUGUUAUAUGUUUUGUUUUGUUCCUGAGAAAGUCUAGGAAAAUGGGGGUGUAAGGGUGUAAAUUUAAAGUAGGAAUUAGGGGUUUACAUUUUUAGGGUCUUUAACUGUGGAUAAAAAAGGGUUGAUCACGUUAGAGGAGAAUUUCGAGUUCAAUUACUACUUUUGACAAAAUGAUUAAUAAGCUUGCUUACCUUGGAGUGAGUUGAAUCCAUUUUUGUUAAAUUUAUUAUCAAAUGGUGUACUUUGUGACAUACUGUGAUAUGAUUUGAGCUAUUUUAUUAAUUUUAAUUUUUCAUUAUCAUAGUGGGAACUGGGAUGUCUGGCUGUGUCUAAUUGUUGUACUGUUCUCCGAGAACAUAAGGUUGGUCUCCCUCUUUGUUGCAAGAAAUUGUGGGAUGAAUUUGGUUUCAGGGGAAUGUUAUCCUUUUUUAUUCUUAUACUGCACAUAAAAAAAACAAGGGGUUUUAUUGGGUGCAAGUAUGUGUUUUUUUAUUAUUUAUUUCUGUACUGUGAAAGUCAAUUGUGUUUUUGUUGCUGCAGUCUGGUUGUACUUACUCUUGGUCUCCCGCCGGCAUUGUUAUCUUUUAUUGGGAAACUGAUUUACUCUUUAAAAUUGGUUACAUUCUCUUAUAGUUGCCCUUUUUGUUGGUUCUGAAAAAAUAAAGUGACGUGUGGAUUUCUGUCUUUCUAUAUCAUGCUUAUGUUGGAAUGUUAUACCUGCCAAAACCAUGUGUUGAAAUGUUGGAUUGGUAAACGUUUUUUGUUCUGUUUUUAGGACUUCAUUAAUCGUUUAGAAGCGGAGCCAACGAUGUGAGAGCAGAAGGGGAGCAAGCAUGUGAGGUAAUUUUUUAUGUUGAAUUAAGUGGUUUUGAAUUCAAUCAAACAUUUGUAUGCAAGUUUGGUUUCUAUAUCUAUCGCGAUUCAUGUUUGCAGUGAUAUUAUUGUAACAUUAAUCCUAAAAUGUAUUGUGAUUAAUCAAAUGCAAAAUGCAGUUUUGAUGAAUGAUUGAAGGUUUCUCUAUGAUUCUAUUGCUGUUUUGAUAAUUACCAAGUUCAGAUAAUGAAAGAGAUAGAACGAAAAUGAAAGCUUAGAAUAUGGUGAAUGAUAUGUUGGUAUGUGUGUGUGUUCUUUUCGGGAGAAUCAGUUGCUGUUUUGAUAAAUUGUAAAAUUUAUUUUGCUUGGUCUGAAUGCAGGUCCGGUUGCUUGCCUUCCCAUAGAUGGGUUGGGUUGGACAUCUAGAAGAAUUUGUUUGCAUAGAACUUUUUUUUGUCUUUUCGCUGUAAUCUAUUUUGUUAAAGGUGAUGAUAAAGAUUUAUCAAUAUUGUUUGUUCGGAGUUAGGUGGAAAUUGUAAGGGAGUAAAUUGUGAUCGUUUAUGCAGCAUUUGAUAAAAUUGGAAAAUAAAAUUGGGGAAAUAAUGUUAAUAGUUUGUAGAUGUUAACUUAAAUAUAUUGGAUUCCGAUAUAUAAUGAAAAAACACUAAACUGAUUAUUUUCUUAAACAAAGCAUUGCAUUUUGAUUUAAUUUUGGACCGUUUGAUAUUUUUUGUACAGUUAAAUAUAUCAUAUUCGACUUCACCCAUUAAAUUAAAUGUACUUAUAAACUUAAAAUUAAUAAUUAAUAAUUUUAAAUAAAGACCGUUGGAUCAACCAAUAGUCGAGAUUUAUGUCAUCCUAUCAAAAUGAUGCAAUUGGGAUUGCACAGGGUGCCCUUUUCCUUCACCUUUUGGCGAGUUUCCUCCCUUUCAGCUCGUCAAUCAUGCGCCAAUCCGACUCAUCAUUGCACCCCACUAAUUCCUCUCUCCCACGCCUCAUUUACUCUCUCAAUAUGGAAUUGGAUCAUCCCCGGAUCCCCUCCUUGGGGGGUUCUAGGGAUCAACGCAUACGAAUCGUUGAUUAAAAAUUGUGCGAUCAUAAUUUUUUUCUUUUUUAUAUUUUUCACGUAAAACGAAGUUACUUUACUUUCAAAAAAUAUAAAAAACAUUUAAUUGUGGCCGUAUGAUUUUUGAUCAACGGUCUGUGUGCGUUGAUCUUUAGGAUUCCCAGGGAGGGGAUCCUGCGAGGAUCCAAAUCCUCUCAAAACAAUAAUUUCUUAGCAAAAUCUUUUUGAUAAGAAGUCACCAUAUUCCUAUCUUGGUAAAUCAAAACGCAAACAGGGAAAACCUUUUGGAUCGCCUGAUCCUCUUUACGAGGAUUCCAAAGAUCCUCUAAUCACAAUCGUUCAUCGUACAUCGUAUGAUCAGUUUUUGUCAGGUAUUGUUUAUAUUUAAUUUUAAAUAAAAAAAUUAUAAUAAUUUCUGACUGCACAAUGUACGAUGAAUGGAUGUGAUUUGAGAAUCCUCGGGAUCCUCACUUAGGAAAACGGAGUUGUCCAAUCUCUACGUUAAUAAAUUAAUGUCAAAGACUUCAAUCAAAACCAGAAAGUCAAUAAGAUCUCAGUUAAAGAACAUUAGUAUCUAGAGACUGAAUAUAAAUUUUUCUAAAAAAAAAAAAAGAAUAAUUGCCUAAGAGAACAGCAGCUGGAAUGCCAAAUACCACUUCACCGUGACGUAUAUGCUUGCUUCUGUUGUCGAGGAUUGAUUCGUAAGCCAUCAUGCUUGUUGAUGUGAGAUUCUGAAAACAAUGUUUACGUUCUAUGAAAAAUAGUUGCUUGCCGACACUGCCACCAUAGAUUCACCUCUCAAACUUGUUAUUCCUUACGUCCAAGGACAGUAAACAGCAGCAUCAAGGCAAAUCUUUUUGGUAAUAUGAGCAAAGAAUCUUGCAUUGUAGAAAGCAAGCGGGAAAACAUAGGUGUCCACUGUCUAUAUAAACUAGCAAAGAAGAACAGCAAUUGCACAACCAUUCUGCAUUAAUUUCCUCUUCAUACAUGAGACUUUGUUGAAAUACAUAGGCGUCCACUGUCUAUAUAAACUAGCAAAGAAGAACAGCAAUUGCACAACCACCCUGCAUCAAUUUCCUCUUCAUAUGUGAGACUUUUUUGAAAUACAUAGGUGUCCACUGUCUAUAUUGUGUUUUCACCAUGUUUUUAUAGAAAUAUAUUCUUCCAGUCAUUCUCACGAAAUAUUACAACCAAAUUAAAAUUUUAAUUUACCUUUGUGUACCUUUUAUUAUCUUUUGCUUUUUUGAAAUUGAGAAAUUAAAUAAUUACCUUUGUAUACAUUUUUUAUCCAUCGUUACAAAAUUUGUUAAUUGUUUUAAUAUAUAUAUAUAUAUAUAAGUUAAAUUUUCUACUUUUCCAUGUUAAGUAUAUCAUUGCGUUAUUCCACCAUGCAUUAUUUUUUGUAAAUAAGAUAUAUAUUUAAUCUGCUUUAAUUUGUAUUUGAUAGAAAUAAUUGUUUUGAUAAGUGUGAAAUAUAUUGUCUGCAUGCUUAAUAACAAAUUAUUUGCUUUUUUUGCUGACAGCUAUUCUCAACUUCAUUGGUAGUGACACUGAACAAUAAUUUGCGAUGUGCUUCAAAUGUAUGCAAAUUCAGGAACAUUGAAGCAAAUUAUUCUCUCCAUAGUGCUCAAGUCGAUGACAGUUGGCAUGCUAAUGCUAUUUUCCAACAAAACAUUAUUUAAACUAUUUUUUUACUAUAAGCAAGGUGAUGACUAGAGUUUUUUAUACUUCAGUAUAGCAGGACAUUUGUUAAUCUGGGAAUUUCACAUUUUUCUCCUUCUUUCUAUUUUUUUUUUUUUUUGUAAUUUCCUAUGCCAUUUGGGACUCAAGUAUAUAAUUAUAAAAAUUGAAGAUAUUUCUAAUAUAAAAAAAAUUAUCAUUCCUUUCAUCAGAUAUGCUUUUCAGCAUUAUUACAGUUUUUAGUUUUUUUUUUGGAACUCAUGGAUAAUUAGCUUUACUAUAUUUGUUGGUGCAUUGAGUAACUUAUUUGAUUUUAGUUUUCCUAGCCCAGUGAAUAUGUAAUUUACUGCAUUCUCCGCCUUUUUAAAGAUAAAAAAAUUGUUUUCUUAUGAAGUAAUGAUAAAUAAAAAUCUGAGAAUAGAAAUUUAGGAAAGAAUGAGUGCAAAUAUACAACUCAUAUUAUUAAUUGUAUGUAAAAAUUGAUUAAAAAUAUGAAUGUAUCAUUACAUUAUAUGAGUCACCAAUUUUUACCAAAUCAUUAACUUACAACCAAGAAUGUGAGUAAAUUUUGGUACAAGUGUUAUUUUAUAACAACGGUAUGUAAGUCUAUUCUACUCGAGUUUAUAACAUGAAAAACACACGUCUGUGGAGGUUGUUUUGUUUAAAUUUGAGAGUACUUUGAUUUUGAGAUUUAUCAAAAUUUUGAUCUUUUUUUUGGUGAAUUUUUUAAUUCAGAUUAUCUCAUACAUUCUGAUGAGAGAGAGUGAGUUCAAAUUGUGAUUUUUUUUUUUUUUUUGUAUAUAGGCAGAAGUUGGUUCAAGCUUGAAUUAACAGUUAUAUCUUUUCAAAUUCCAUGUUUGUAGAUAAUAACGAUGCCUCAUACAACAUUCACUAUCUAGCUAAGAAUGUUGGUAGUGAAGUCCUGCUAAAUUGAUGAAGAACGUCCUCACAACAACAACAACAAAAAACUAGGUAACCAUACUCUAUCCCUUUUUUUUUCCUUGUAUUAUAAUUCUGUUGUCAUAUAAAUUUGCUUCAUGUAUUUCAAUAUUUUUCUUUCCUUGCCUAGGAUGCUUCCUUAACAAUCAACAAAUACUGGACAAAAGCUUUUAGCGUUGAAGCAAACAUUUUUUGCCUGUUUUGGCACUCUUUAUAUCUUCAAAAAACGAUCUCUCAUACAAUUUUUAAUCUCCCGGCAAUGCGCUGGCAUAACUUUCUAGUCCAUCCUAAUUGGUGACCUGCAUCUUUUUUUAGUUGACCAUAGUGAAGUACACAAUUUUACAUGCGGUUUAGGGCCCAUUUGAUAACCAUUUCAUUUAGCUUUAGGGUACACAUGUUAAAUUAGAAGAAGAAUAUAACACUUAGUGCUUUUAGAUUUCUUAGUUGUUUUUGCUUUUAGUUAGCAAAUUGCAAUUGUAUCCAGAAGAACUUUGCAAGAAAAAAAGAAAUCAUGUACUCUGCCUUCUUACUUCAUUAGCUUAUUCUCAAUUUACAGAACAACUGAUUUGUAUUGGUGCUCCAAGGAACGUAUAUAUUGAAGAGUAACUCACUUCAUCCAUAACCAACAGAGCUAAGGGUACGUUCUUUAAUUAUAACAAUAUUUGAUUUGAGUUGGAAUCUUGGAUCUCAUUUAUGGCAUCUGGUUUGCUUUUAAAUCUGGUGCCAUGCAAGCUUGUACUUUUCAGUCAGUGUAUCGAUUAUUUAUCGUGUUUAUGUUAAAUCUGCAAUAGUGUACAUACGUGAUGAAAUGCUAUGAAAUACUUGAGCUAAUAGUAGCAGCUCAGCAUCCUUCGAACAUUGUUAUCUUUUCUCCUCCACUACCAAACAAAGACAAUUACUCUGAGCCCUUCAAUCUAAGAUACUAAUUUGGUGCAUACAUUUGUCUAAUGAAACCAAGUCCACACCUGGUUCACUAACAACAAAGUAACACUAGCAGCUACAUAACACUAGCCUUAUGGAAUUCAAGCAAAUAAACACAAACAAAUUUCUUGUGUUCCAAGUUGUAGGAUCAAAACCAAAUCUCAUUUAGCUCCGACAUUCCCUUCUAAAUGGAUUAUGCUUUGACUCCAAGCAAUCCUCUCAGAUAAACAAAUUUGUGUUUAGGCAGAGUUUUGUUGAAAAUAUCUACAGUCUGAUCUUUAGACUUGCAGUACAACAACUCAAUUGUGUUUUCCAGCAAUGCCUCUACGAUGAAAUGAAAUUUCUUUUAAUGUGUUCUGUCUUUUGACGGAACACAUGGUUUUUAGUCUUGGUUAUUGUAGAGUUGUUGUCACACAUGAACGAUGUGGCAUCCAAUUGCAUUUCCCGAAAAUCCUUCAGAACAAAUCUUAGGCAUAUAGCUUGGAAUGUUGCCUCAGCAACACUCACAUACUCAUCUUCUGCUAUGGACAGUGCAAAACUUUGUGGCUUGACUGAAGCCUAAGAAAAUAUCCCAUAUCCAAAUGUGAAGGCAUAGCCUAAGGUACUUCUCAUAUCAUCCUCACUUCCACCCCAGUCACUAUUACAAAAGCCAGUUAGAUCUGCAUUUUCACUUUAUAUACUUGAGUCCGCAUUUUCACAUUAUAUACUUGAGUUCAAAAUCCAAGGUUCAUGAGAUGUAUCUGAGGACCCUUUUUGCAAUUUCUAUGUAAAUCUUUGUUAUUCCAUGUGAAUCUUUCUCAUCGGCAGCUUUAGUUCCGUUAUUUUUACAAUUUUUCAUUUGUAAUCAAUGGGGUAGCAACUGACUUGCAUCAUUUCCGUCCAAAUUUCUCAAGUAAGGUCUGUGCAUAUUUUUGCUGAUGUAUGAAAAUACCAUUGGAUUCUGGAAUCACUCCAAUUCCCAGAAAAUGAUGAAGAAAUCCCAAAUUAAUCAUUUCAUAAUGCUUCAUCAUAUCCUCCAUGAGUUCAGAAAUCAUAGCUUCAUUGCUUCCAGCAUGAGUUCAGAAAUCAUAGCUUCAUUGCUUCCAGUGAACACCACAUCAUCAACACAGAUAAACACAAUUAGCUUUUCUGAGCCUUUUCCCGUCUUUGUAUAAAUUGUUGCCUCACUUGAACUUUUGCUGAAACCUCUCUUGCUGAAGUGGUUGUCAAUUUCAAUGUACCAAGACCUUGGUGCUCACUUCAGUCCAUACAGUGCCUGCCUUAAUUUGAACACCUUAUCAUCUUUAUUUGGAACCACAAAACCUUAUUCAAGUAUGCUAUUGAGAAAAGCUGAAUUUACAUCCAACAUAUACAAUUUCCGACCUUUAUGUGUGGCCAAAGCAAUUAAAGUCCUAAUAGUGUCCAACCUUGCCAUUAGAGCAAAGGUUUCAUUGAAAUUCACUCCAAGUUGUUGGAAAUAACCCUUAGCAACAAGUUUUACCUUGUUCUUUUGUACGAAGCCAUCUAGAUUCAAUUUGGUCUUAUAGACGCAUUUCACACCUAUCACUACUUUGUCCAUUGGUCUAUUCACAAGUUUCCAAGUAGAGUUUUUCUCAAUCAUACAAUUCCAUCACUCAUUGCCUUCUGCCAAGAUUGGUCAUUCUCAGCUUCUUCAAAGCUUUCAUGUUCCAUUAUACGAUAGUUGCAAGUUGCAUAAAUCUCACUCAACCUCCUCUUCACUCAACCUCCUCAUUCCUAAUGAAGUUGAUCCUAAGGGAGAGUCUUGCACUUCUAGGUCCUCUGGUGUUGAACUUAAAUGUUGGGGAGACUAAAUUUCAAACACAAUUUCACUCUCAGUUUGUGUUUCACAUUCCACUUCAUCAAGUCUAAGUGGUACUAAAAUGAUAUCUUCAAUCUUUUUAUCCCAAUUCCUAACAGCUUCUUUAUUAAAUAUGACAUCCCUCAAAAUAAUCACCUUGUAAGUUUCAAGAUUGAAAAUUCUAUACCCUUUUUCUUAACUCUUAUAUCCCACAUAGAUGCAUUUGGUGUUGUUGUCUUCAAGUUUGUGUCUCAAUUGUGUUGGCAUCUGUGCAUAACAAAUAGAACAUCCUUGGAUGCUUCACACCAAGUUUCCUGCCACUAAAUGCUUCAAAAGGAUUCAUUUUAUCAAGUGUUUUUAUUGGUAAUCUGUUGAGAAGAUAGACUGAAGUUUUAACUACCUCACUCCAAAAUGAAUGUGGCAUCUUCUUUUCAAGCAACAUGGAUGUUGCCAUUUCAAUCGCCGUCUAAUUUUUCCUUUCUAUAAUACCAUUAUGCUAUGAUGAGAAAGCAACAGUUAGUUGUUUCUGUAGUCCUAUAUCCUCACAUAACUCCUUGAACUCGAAUGAAGUAUAUUCCCCACCUCUACCACUUCUAAGCUUUUUCUUAUUUUUAGUCUACGUUGUAGUUCAACCAUUGUUCUGAACUUUUUGAAAACAAAAACGCUACUCUUACCACAUAAUUAAUAUUCGAAAAUUACAAUUAAAUGCCAAAAAGCUAGAGUUAGUUUCUAAUCUUAGACAAGGUUUUAUUCCAAAAGUAAUCUUUUUCAAGAAGUGGAAUAGAAUUUUCCGUUUUUCAUAGUACACUUUGAAAUGUACUGUGUUUAUUUAUAUGUUGUUGAAAGAUCAUAACUCAUAAGUCAAUUAGAAAAGCAAAGUAUAUCUUGAGCUCCUUUUUUUCUAAUUUAAUUUGUAUUCAUCAGCAGGCAUGGAUAUUGUUAGUCAAAUUGUCGGAAAAGUUGCCGAGUAUGCAGUUGAACCAGCUAUACGUCAAGUGGGUUACCUAGUUCACUGCAAAAGAAACCUUGAGAGUUUACAGACUCGAGUGAACGAAUUAAGUGCCGCUAGAGAGCGGCUACAGCGCGACGUUGUUGGAGCUGAAGACAAAGGUGAAAAAAUCCACACUGUCGUCCAGAACUGGCUGAAAAGCGUGGAUGAGAUCACCGAGAAGGCGAACGAAUUACGCAGGAGAUCAACAAAGAUGAGCUGUCUCCGUGGGGUUUGUCCAAACCCGGUGCUCCGUUACAAGCUAGGCAGGAGAUCAACAAAGUUGGAGCAGGCGGUUGUUGAGCUCUACGACAAAGGAAAUUUCGCUAGGCAGGACAUUUCGUACAAUGUCCGCCCACAAGAGGUAUCCGUGGUUUCGCACAAACAGUAUGAGGCAUUUGAUUCGAGGACUUCAACUGUAAAGAAAAUCAUGGAUGAACUGAGAAUUCCUAAUACCGACCUGAUUUUGGUGUAUGGUAUUGGAGGCGUGGGGAAGACCACACUGGUUGAAGAAGUCCUUAGGCAAGCUGUAAAAGAGAAUUUAUUUGCCGAUGUGGUUAUGGUAAGAAGUGUGCAAAAGCCGGACCUUGAAGGACUUCAAAAAGAAAUUGCCAAAAAGUUAGGUAUGGAAGUUCGUGAUAGCGAUACUAUGUCAGAAAGAGCACCUCAUCUAUGUGACAAGAAAGUUCUUGUAAUUUUAGACAACAUUUUGGAAAGCAUUGACUUGCAGAGUGUUGGACUUCCUUGUCUGCCGACUUGUAGAAUACUGUUGACAUCCAGAACUCGAAAACUGCUAUCCUCAGAGCGGUCGCGAAAAGACUUUGAGCUUCGAGUUUUAAACGAGGAAGAAGCUUGGCGUUUAUUUGAGACGAAAGCAGGUGAUGUUGUUAAAAAUCCCGACAUACGAACUGUGGCAACUGAUGUAGCCAAAAAAUGUGGAGGUUUGCCACUUUUGGUUGUCACAGUCGCAAGCUCUUUAAGAAAUAGAAGUACUUUACCACUAUGGAAGGAUGCCUUGAGAAGCCUAGAAGUGUUCGACAACGAAGACCAAAAGAAAGCAUACUCGGCUUUAGAGUGGAGUUACAGUCAAUUGGAUGAUCGAAAGCUUAAGCCAUUAUUCUUGAUCUGUGGAAUUUUGGUAAAUCAUUUUGGAGAUGCUUCUCUGACAGACUUGUUGAAAUAUACAAUUGGUUUGGGUUUGUUUAAGGACAUUGAUUCAGUGGAGUACUCACAAUAUGCAUUGCACAAGCGGAUUGAAGAGCUUAAAGAUUCUUGUCUGUUACUCGACUCCGAGGACAAUACAUCAAUCACAAUGCAUGAUUUGUUACGUGAUUUUGCCAUCUCGAUUGCAUCAAAAGACCAACGUGCCUUACUAAGAGCAGAUGGAGAUGAGUUGAAGGAAUGGCCAAACAAUAAGGAGUUUUCUGAAAAUUGCACAAUGAUCUCUUUGUCUUGCGAAAACAUCCCUAGGCUUCCUGAAGUUUUGAAAUGCCAACAACUGGAGUUUUUUCAUUUGUACUUUAAUGGUGACUUGCUUGAAAUCCCAGGUAACUUCUUUGAGGAGAUGAAAGAGCUUAAAGUUAUGGAUUUAACCAAAGCGCGUAUUUCGUCGCUGCCUCCAUCUCUUCAUCUCCUACAAAAUCUUCGGACAUUGUGUUUGGAUGUUUGCGUGUUGGGAGACGUAGCUCUAGUCGGACAGCUAUCGCAACUAGAAAUUCUCAGCUUUAUAUAUUCCAAGUUUAAAGAGUUGCCUGAAGAAAUAGGGAAAUUGACUCGUCUUCGACUGCUGGAUUUAAGCGGCUGCUCUGAACUCGAAGUGAUUUCACCUAAUGUUAUAUCACGUUUGACAAGUCUAGAAGACUUGAGAAUGAAAGAGAGCUUCAACGGAUGGGUGCCCGAAGGAGUAAGCGGAGAAAGAAGUAAUGCUAGCCUUUCGGAACUGAAGGACUUGCCUCGUUUAGCUGCAUUAAGCAUACAUGUUCCAGAUGCUGGCAGUAUUCCGACUGACUUGUUCACUGACAAGUUAAAAAGAUACCAAAUAUUAAUCGGCACUUUUUAUUGGGAAUGGAUAGGUGUGGAUGAAACCCUCAACACAUUGAAGCUAAACCUCCCUACUGGCUGUGAAUUGGACCGUGGUCUAGAAAUGUUGUUGAAGAGAUCAUGUGAAGAUUUGUAUUUGGAUGGGUCGAACGGAGCUGAUAAUGUUGUGUACCACUCAUGUAGUGAAGAUUUUCAAAAACUCAAGCAUCUCCAUGUCACAGGCAAUGCCCAAUUUACACAUAUCAUUACUGAGGAGGUAUGCCACUGGUGUCAUUCUUUCCCAUUUACACAUAUCAUUAGUGAAGAUUUAUUUAAUUUUUUUUAUUCGAGGGAUACGAUUUACAAAGAAAAAUGAAACAACCACCAUAGAACUCCUAGAUUUUGUGUGGCUCUAUUUACAUAUGUUUGAUCAUUUGAAGUGGUUCAGUUUUAUCUAAGUACGUAUCAAGAAAUAUCACCGUUGGUAUAAUUUUUUUUAUCUAAACAUACCAUUUGACUAGAUAAUAACAAUUAAUGUGAAUUCUCUUCUCUUAAAAAUGGAAUGUACAAAUACUGCAGGUUGUGUUGCCCAACUUAACAAGCUUGAUGGCGUGUCAUUGUAAUAGUUUAACUUUUGCGUUAUCGUCUUCCAUGGCUAGAAAUCUUGUACAACUUCGAAAACUUAAGAUAACCAGAUGUGAAUCAAUGGAAGAGAUAGUUUCGACAAAAGAAUACGGUGAAGAAAAAACAGAUGGCAUGUUUUGUAAGCUACAACAUCUGGAGCUAGGAGAUCUUCCAAAACUCUCUAGAUUCUGCUCAGCAAGCUGCGAUGUCCAGUUUCCGUCUUUGGAGAGUUUGGAAAUUCAUAAUUGUGAAGAACUGAAGGGAUUUGUCUUUGAUCCUAAACCUGAGACCGAAGAAGUAUACUUUCUUUUUGACGACAAGGUAAAACUAUUAUUUGAGUAUUUGAAGUGGUUCAGUUUUAUCUAGUACAUAUCAAGAAAUAUCUAUUGGUACAAUUUUUUUUAUCUAAAGAUACCAUUUGACUAGAUAAUAAGAAUUAAUGUGAAUUCUCUUCUCUUAAAAAUGGAAUGUACAAAUACUGCAGGUUGUGUUGCCCAACUUAACAAGCCUGGAGGUGCAUGGUUGUCAUCUUUUAACUUUUGUGUUAUCGUCUUCCAUGGCUAGAAAUCUUGUACAACUUCAAAAACUUGAGAUAACCAUAUGUGUAUCAAUGGAAGAGAUAGUUUCGACAAAAGAAAAUGGUGAAGAAAAAACAGAUGUCAUGUUUUGUAAGCUACAACAUUUGGAGCUAGAAUAUCUUCCAAAACUCUCUAGAUUCUGCUCAGCAAGCUGUAAUGUCCAGUUUCCGUCUUUGGAGAGUUUGAAACUUUUUGAGUGUGGAGAACUGAAGGGAUUUGUCUUUGAUCCUAAACCUGAGACUGAAGAAGUAUACUUUCUUUUUGACGACAAGGUAAAACUAUUAUACCAUUGUAUCUCUUUUAUAGAUCAUUAUCUGAUGUCUAAUAUAUUCAGUUCGACAAAGAAAGAAUUUAACAAUUUCAUAAUUCGAAUACAGGUAGGCUUUCCAAAGUUGGAGAAAUUGUCCAUCUGCGGGCUAUCUAUUUCGACUACAGUAUGGCACAACAAACUUGAUCCAGGCUCUUUCUACAAACUUAGAGAUGUUGACGUUCAUCUCUGCGGUAGACUAAUAAGCAUCAUUACACCUAGUAUUGCAGGGAGAUUGAAUGCUUUAAGAAGAUUAUCGAUAAGUGGGUGCAAUCGUUUAGAGGUGGUUUUUGAGAUCAAAGAAACACCAGACACGUCUACGACUCAGUUGAAAAUGUCUGGUUGUGAAAAUCUAGAUUCAGUAUUGAUAAACGAGUGUGAGAAAUUGAAAUAUAUUUUUCCAUGCUCAAUGGCUAGAGGUCUUCAGCAACUACGAGUCCUGAGAGUGGAUGGUUGUGAUGGAAUGGAGGAAAUCGUUUCCAAGGAAGAGGGACUAGAAAUGAUGCCUAAGUUUGUGUUUCCAAAAGCAACAAAUAUUGAAUUUGAAUAUCUAACCCAACUUAAGAGCUUCUAUCCAGGAAUCCAUGCUUCCGAAUGGCCGCUGCUCGAAAAAGUGACGGUGAAGGGAUGCGGGAAAUUGGAUAUUUUUGCCACUGAAAUUUCAAGUUUCCAGAAGCAUGAGUUUGGCGGUCUUUACACUCCAAUUAAACACUCUCUCUUCUUAAUUGACAAGGUAAAAAUACAUUACACAAUUUUCUUAAACAAAAGUUAGCCUUUCAAGCUACUUCAUAGAAGAAAAAAAUUCUCCUUGUGUUAUUAUUUUUGUUGCCGUUUAUCAUUCUUGCGUUGGUAAUAUUUCAGGAUGUAUCAUUCCCCAACUUGGAAACGAUGGCCUUAGACAGAGACAUGGAGAUAUGGUGCGGUCCAUCCACAUCACAGUUGUUUAGGAAACUAAAAUCGUUGACGUUUGCGCGGGGCCAGAAAGUUUCUUUAUUUGAGAAUAAUGUAAAUCCAGAUGCGUCCUUCCCACAUAUAAGUGUUUUGAAGCUUUACGGAAUGUGGAAGUUGAUGUAUCUAGGCAACGAGAAUUUCCCAGGGGCAGGCCCAGUUUUUCCAAACUUGGAAGUUCUACGAGUGAUGGAAUGUCCAGAAUUGAAGGAGAUAGGGUCAUCUGCUAUUCCCUUCCAGAAUUUAACAACUUUGGAAGUAUAUGGAUGUCACAGCUUGAAAUAUUUAGCAACAUAUACGAUAGCCAAAACUUUAAAGCGGCUAAGAAAAAUGACGGUUUGGCGUUGUGAAAGAAUGACAGAAAUAGGGGCAACGACAUCAGAUGGAGAUGAUGCAGGAAAUGACGGUGAGAUUUCUUUUUGCCAGUUGCAAAGUUUGGACCUUUGCCGUCUACCAAGUCUGCAAGAUUUCUUCUCUGGAAAUUGCAUUGUCAAAUUCCCAUCCUUGAAAACUGUAAAUAUAUAUGAAUGCCCUAAGUUGAAGAUCAACAGCUCUGAGUGGAAGAGUUCCCCAGAACUACAAGGAGUGCAUUUAACAGAGAAU
rnacentral:lncRNA from 1 species